GACAGAGGUCCCGAGCGUUAGGCGGAAUCACUGGGCUUAAAGCGUGUGUAGGCGGAUCGUUAAGUGCCUUGUGAAAUCCCACGGCUUAACCGUGGAACUGCUUGGCAUACUGGCGGUCUUGAGCCACCUAGGGGCAACCGGAACAAAUGGUGGAGCGGUGAAAUGCGUAGAUAUCAUUUGGAACGCCAAUGGUGAAAACAGGUUGCUGGGGGGUGUGCUGACGCUGAGACACGAAAGCCAGGGGAGCGAACGGGG
rnacentral:rRNA from 1 species